GUGACUGAAAGCAAAAGACAAAACACAUCAGAAGUCAAGAGUGUGUGUUCCGAAAUCAGGUGGUGUGUUAAUGCUACAUUAUCAUUUUUCUUUCUCUUUUGUUUGAUUUUUACAAGCUAUUUACGUUAUUUUUGUUCUGUUUGUAAUAUAGGGUAGUUUAAGGACAUUGUGCUAUGUGUUUAGUGUUGUUUUUGGAAGCUUAUGUUCGGGAAACUGCAUUUGUUGUAGUAGCUAACCAUUUCAAAGUUUUAUGUAAUGGUUGUUUUAAUUUCAAGUAAGCUAUUUAUGAUUU